AUGUCAACAACGCAUCGCCUCUACUUUUACCAAAAAAUAGGCGCACAAAACUCCCCUGUUUGCGCCCGCGGCCACCUGUCUCCGCCUCCUCGCAGGAAGCGGUCCCGGCGCGUGGGCUCGGGCUCGGGCGGGGCGUGGGCCGCGGUCCCGGAAGGGGUGAAGCGCCCGGCGGGCGGGCGCGGGGCAGGGAGGCCAGGGAGCCGCAGCCGCUCCGCAGCCCGUCCGCAGACCCGGCCAGGCGGCGCGCCCCGAACGCCCCGUGCCCGCCCCGCCCGCCCUCCCCGCAUCCCGCGCGCGCCCCUAGCAGCCGGGAGCCGGAGCGCUGGCUCCGCGCGGCCUGGAGAGGCGGAGAGGCCGGUCCGCCGCCCCUCUGCCGCCCACGCCCCGCUGCGGGUCGGAGGAGCAGGAGCGCUCGCAGGUGCUCGGAGAGGCCGGGCCGCGGCUCCCACAGGUGCCGGAGGAGGCCGCGCAUGCGCCGGAGCCCACCCGCCAGGCUGCGCGUCCCGGGCCCGGGGGCUGAAGAGGAGCCGCGGCGAGGAACAAGAGAAUGGUGAGAGGACGCGGAAACACCUGAUAUCCCAGCAAAGGAAGCUGCAGAGGAAGGGUCCUGCCCCGUGAGCAAGGACGGCCUCCAGGAGCACAGCGGCUUCUCCUGACACCCCCCUGGCAGUGAAUUACGGAUGACCCCGUAUCUGGGGAGGUGCGGACGCCGACACACGGGGAGAGCUCAUGAGACCAGCGCGCAGGACCAGUGUCCUCCCCGUGACCUUGCAGUUGUGUAGCCACAAGUGGGAGCCACAAAGAAGGAGAGCCCACAGGGGGACUCUUUUCAAGACAUGGGGUUAAAUCGGGGCUCUGAAGUUGGGGCCACGGCUGAUCUCAGCUUUCUGCGUCCUGGGGGUGCUGUGAUAUGAUGGAAUGUGAAGUGAGUGGUUGACCACGGACUCCUGAAAGGGCGCAGCAGAUACCUGGUUAUCCGCUACUGCAGAGACACCUGGUCAGCCGGCGUUGCAGAGAGGGACAGCUAGUCACUCAGACUACAGAGAGAGACACCUGGUCACUCAGACUGCAGAGAGACACCUGGUCACCCAGGCUGCAGAAACAACCGGAGUCAACUGCAGCUCCAGUCAGUGCUGUAUGUUGGCUGACGUGGUCUUGCACCGGCUGGAGAUCCAUUCACCAAGACUCUCUGGGCAGAUUUAAAGUGAUUGGGGUUCAGAAGUUCAGCAAGAGUUGGACACACCCCUCCUCACUGGAGAGGAGAGGGGAAAGGCGGGGGACGGGGAGCAGCGUGUGAGAUUACCCCCCUCACACACACACACACAGCAAAAAAGCGUGGACACACAGAAGUGAAAUCUGAUCGCGUGCCAGGAAAAGCUGUGAGGCUGGAAACCCCGGAGUAACGCUCGACCUUGGCCAGACCUGCAGGCUGUGGAGCCGGGAGAGUGC
rnacentral:lncRNA from 1 species